rnacentral:SRP_RNA from 7 species
CCGCGCUAGACGGGGAGGUAGCGGUGCCCUGUAACCCGUAAUCCGCUAUAACGGGGUUGACGCCUGUCCGAGGCGUGCUUUGUGCGAGGCUGGUCUGGAUCAUCCGUGUUGAUGACCGGGUCCUGCGCAACGAUCACUUCCGAACCGUGUCAGGUCCUGACGGAAGCAGCACUAAGGGAGACCGGUCGUGUGCCGCAGGGGUGCCUGGUCUGAGCUGAUGGUUCAGGGGCCGCUCGGGCAAGACACGUCGGAGACAGGUGCGCGG